GCCAUUUGCCUCACUUACUCCUGGGGUCUGCGUGAGCAUCUGGCCCCGACCUGGUAAAGGGUCGGUUUUGCCCAGCAGUAAGCCCUACACGUGGACAGAGGACGAACACCGGACGAGCGAACGGAGACCACAUGCAACAAUCUCAAAGGGAAUUCCUAAAGGUUUCUUCAUCUUUAAUGAGAAAAAUGGCCAUGCAGUGCUCUUGAACCAACUUACUUCCAUACCUAGUCAGGUCAAAGCAAAGUUCUGUCUGCACUGUCUUACCUGGAGCCUACUGGAAGACCUUCUUGCUACAGCUACAAGAAGCACUGUGUCCACAGGCUUUCAUUUUGAUGGAGGAAUUCAAACUCCUGGAGUGCAUUCGGAGAAGUUUCCUGGCCUAGCUAUCAGACAAACCAACCAGAGGAGAAGCAUUACCUGACCAGACACUCACCAUACAAAGGAGAUCAUUAAAUAUAUUAAGAGGUACUGUGAGCUGUAGUGAUAGUGCUCUGAUUAUGUUUGUGAUCUCAAGGAAUAUGGGCAUGGCAAAGAACAGAGACAGGACUCCGCACUUCAGAAGAGUGAUAUUCCAGCUGUUUAAGGAAUUACUGGAUGAGAUCCCCUGGGAAGCUGUCCUCGGAGACAGUGGAGCAGAGCAGAGCUGGCAGCUCUAUAAGGACACCUUUCUGACAACAUAAGAGCUCUCUGUCCCUCAGCAUAAGAAAUCAAGAAGAGGAGGGAGGAAACCAGCAAGAUUGAGUGAGGACCUGCUGGUCAAAAUGAGAAAUAAGAAGGAAAUUCACAGUUAAUGGAAUCAGGAAUGAGUGGCCUGGAAAGAAUACAGGAUUCCAUCUAGACAUGAAGAGAUGGGAUCAGGAAAGAUAAGGCACAGAUGGAACUGCAUUUGGUGAGGGAUGGGAAAAAUAAGAUGGUGGAAUAGAACCUCCUGGAAGCUAUCUUAAGACACAUGUGAGGCAAGGUGAUCUGUGACAAAGAACAUGGUCUUGUCAUGGGCAGAUCACACCUGACCGAUCUGGUGGCCCUCUACGAUGGAGUGUUGGCAUCAGUAGAAGAAAGAGGAGAAACUGGUAUCAUCUAACUGGAAUUCAGCAAAGUAUUUGAUACGAUCCCACACACCAUCCUUAUCCCUAAAUUGGGGAGAUAUGGACUUGAAGGCUGGACUAUUCAGUGGAUAAGGAAUUGGUUGUACAGCGUCAGCCAGAGGGUUGGGGUCAAUGGCUUCAGGUGAUGAGUGGUGUCCCCCAGGGGUCUGUCCUGGGACCGGUGCUUUUCAACAUCUUUAUCAACAACCUAGACAGUAGGAUUAAGAACACUCUCAGCAAGUUUGCUAAGCUGAGUGGUGCAGUUCAUAGAACAGAAAUAAGGGUUGCCAUCCAGAGGGACCUGGGCAAGUUUGAAAAAUUUUGAGAAACUCCUUGUAGGAAGUUUAUGCAUGAUAAAUGAUUAUGAUAUCUGAGUUCCAAUUGGGGAACACUGCUGUAUUUGUGAUGACUUGCUAGGAGUGUGUCAUUUUAGAUCUUGGAGACCUGUCUUUUGUAAUGGGAGCCUGCAAAUGCCCCCAACAAAUUCUUGUCACUGGAGCUGAACAGAUCAUCUGCAUAGUGAACUGUUAGUGCAUAAACUGAUGUUUCCAGAUACCUGCGGUAGAUAUCAAUUAAACCACAGAAAUCUAAUUGUACUUUACAAGAGCUGUAGCACUGUACUGACAAUUAAUUUCAAAUACAUUAAUGGACUUAGAGAUAGGUGCCUGUACGACCACGUGGAAAUCCAAGAGCAGUACUACCUUGAAUUCUUUCUCAAAAAUGAGAGUUAUUGUGGCCACGUUGUUCCUUGGGCUGUGACCCUUACAGUGAUCUUACAUUGGUUGAUGGUUGUCUUUCUGAUCUGAGAAAAGAUAAACUAGAUAAAAUUCCUAAACAAAUAAGAGUAGCUUACUUUUGUGUUGGAUUUUACAUGAUACAGAUGUCCUUCUUACAUUCCCUACUUCCUUUUGCUUGUUCCUAACAUGUGCAUAACAAUAUGACAGCCAUAAAUUGUCAUGACACUUAAACAUAAAGCACCAUUUAAGUCCUUUAUCUUAUCUGCUACUUGGUUCAGGUAAAUAAGAAUAAUUAAUGGCAGCUACACUACCUAUAAUCGUUGUUAUGGCUCUGAAUUAGCUGAUUUUCUGUUCCAGAACCCCAGGGUGAGAGGCAGAAUGCUGGGGAGCAUGAGGGAGAACUUACCGAGUGUCAGCUGAGAUUCUGUGUAUGGAAAUGGAUGUUAGUGAAGGUUAGGACCUAGGACUAGGACAAGGACUGCUAUCGCUACUGCUUUAUUUCUUGUAGUCUGCAGUGCAGAAACAGUGAGCAAUCUGAAAGACUGACUGGCAGUGAGAAUCAUAGGGAAGAGGAAAAAAAGGGACAAGGAACAUAUAAUGCUCCAACCCUCCUCCCCACCUCCAAGUUAAUUCAGUGUGGGCUUUUCUUGAUCAAAGUUCCUACCCCACAAUAUAUUGUAAUUUAUGUGUGUCUGAGGCGUACAGUAAUGCUGAGCUAAUGUGGUUUUGUACUUAAGUAAACAUGUUUUCAGAGUUGCUAAUGCAUGACAGAAAGUGCUGGAUCGAAGUCUUUCCUGAAUUAGAAGAAAGAAAAACAGCUAUUAUAAAAGGAGAAGUGUGCCUGACUGAGUAAUGCUGUAUCAGAAAGUCUGCAAACAAGUAUCUUAGUCUUUGAUAAGGAUCUAUUUUUAUUAAUUCCUGGGCUGAAAACCAAAUAUCCCUUUUUAACCUGGGAUGUUCUGUAGAGCACACAGCUAGUGCUUUUCAAAUUUUUAUCCUGUUUCGUAAGGGUGGUAAAAGACAAUCCAUUUCAGGCUUUAGGAAUGUAAGACACAAACAUCCCAAAUAGGUUUUUAAUUAAACAUAUAUUACCUUAGUUCAUGAUAAAAGAGUAAACAGUGAUAUGUACUGUUAUGGGUAGGAUAUAAAUCAAAUACAACUACUAUAUUUCCAUAUCUAGUGGAGUCUCAGCAUUUUUUUAAUCUGUUUAUCAUGCAACUGAUUAAUAUAUCAUUAAACAAAAAAGGCAUGUUAUUUCUCAUUGUGAAAGGUCCUUUCAUAAUGUUCUUCUGGAAAUCUACUUGGGUAGAGGAGUAUAUCUGCAUACGUGACAGCACAGACAUGAGGUCUAAGUCCUACCAUUAGUGGCAUUUUCCUGCCAUUCUCUUAAAAUGAGAUAGUGAAAUAAAAUACUGACUUUGUUUGAUGUAUUUUUUAUGUAUGUUCUAAAGCACUUCAUCUGAUAAACUAUCAUGAGAAAUGGACCUUCCAUAGCAUUUCCUAAUACAGCACAUGGUUUGGAUCUAUAAAGUAAACCACAAUAAGAAAACCACGUGUUAACAGUGUGGGAACACCAAGAAGAGAAACCUUUCUUGCUGUGUUUUCAAUAUGAGAUUUCUAGAUAGACUAGCACCACUGAUGUCUCUUUCAUCAGUGAGAUAGAUCCCCAUGCUUGGUCAGAGUAACAAAGACAGCUUGAACCAGAAAAGUUAGAAAAUGGAGUGAAGUAUGGGGAAGGAAGCUUUGAUGUAAGCUGAUGAGCUCAGUGGGUAUUUCAUGGGUUCAUGUGUAUAGUAUCCUCAUACUAUAAUGAUGGAGAAGUUUGAAACUGAAAAACAAACAUAUCCAACAAAUCUCAGAGUAAAAACCCAAGUGGCAGAAUCCCUACUUUCCCAGAGUUAUGAGAAACACCGAGUUACACGCUGAGGAUCCAGACAUCAAGCCUCAGACAGCAUUAGACGAUUUCAAAUAAAAGCUAUCCAGUGCAAAAAUAACAGUGAUGGCUUAAGAAGUCCUUCAACCUUCAAAUCACUAGGGAAAAGAGGAGAUUAUUUUGGAGAUGUAAUACUGUGCGCUCAAUCUGAUUUUUCCAUUCUUCUCUGGACAGCCACUGCUAAAGGCAAGAUAAAUUUACCUGAAAGACCUUCUAAGUUACCUUGUUGGCUUGUUUUUAUCUUCUUUUUUCCUAAAUGUAAGUGUGAAAACAAGUAACACCUCACAAUUUGCAGACAGGGAAGAAAUGAGUGUAAAGAAAAUGCAGCAGAUGUGAGCCAAGACAGCGUCAGCUAGAGCUUCCUCCUUGAGUGUAGACCUGAUGCCAGCAGACGGGUAGUAAUUUUGUGACAGUAUAAAAACUCAUAGUCACUGAGAGGGUACAAGCACUUCCUAAAUACACACACACAAAACACAAUCAAAUCAUGAGAGUGGCUGGACCACAAGAUUAUCCACUGCUUGAAGCGAAUGAAGUCAAUGUGAGAGAUAAGAGUAUUCCGACUUAAGCACAUGCUUAAAUUUAUUAAGGCACUUAAAGUUAGGUGCGUGCUCAAGUGCUGUUACUUGAAUGACAAGUGGGUUUAAAGCAUUUUCCCAAGUUGGGACUUUGCAACAUUGAUAGUCAGCUAUGCAACUGGUGAAACUUAAAAUAGAUGCAUGCACACACAAAAAUGCAAAAAAGAGAGUUUCUUUUUAUGUCUGUCUGCUAUGCUUAGUGGGCUUUCUUGGCUAAGUCUGAGCUAAAUAUUACUGAAAAUAGCAUAGUACUGUAGUUAUUUCAAAGCACUGUCUGUAUUUGUUCUGUGCACUGGGUGGGCAGGAAGCUUCAUUUCAUAAAUCACUUUCAACGAGACAGUAGACUAUAAAAAGGGAGCGUUUUUUUCCCUUCAGUGUUUUUCAUUCUCAAGGUUCUGAUCUGGUACAGCCUACAUACUGGGAAAAGUUCAAAAAAUGUUUCCCACUGCUCUGCAGACCUUCCCUUGCACACAAGGGAUCUAGGGAACCACCAGCAGGCACCCCGUGCUAGUGAGUCCCCCAGGUCACGGUGCUUAACUUGCUAUGAGGCAUUUGUCAGCAAAACUGCCGAAGCAUCGUCCCAUUCCCAGCUCCAUGGAAAGGCCUCCACAAGAAGUUUCACAGCGCACUGUCUACACAGGGAACCUGUCUGGUCAAACCAUUGUCCAGCAAAAGAAAACAGGUUGGUUUUCAUGGGAGACGUGCAGAGAUGUGCAGGAAGGAGCAGUAGGGGAAAAGGGGUGAGGAAGAGGGGGGGAGAAAAGCUCGAAUGAUCCAUCAUUUCUCCUUAUAAAUUAUUUGUUAAAACUUUGUUAGAUUGAGCUUUACACUCAAAAAGGAGCCAAAUGCUCCUUGUGGUACUUACUGGGAACCAAAGGGUAAGAGAGACAGAUAUAGUCAUUCACCUGCAGCAAGGGAAAAGUUGCUGCCUGAUUCAACCCACUGAGUCACAACUUUUCCAUUUAAUAUUAAUAAAAAUGGGGUUCCGCACACCAGUACCUAAAAUGCGCCCCUCAGUUUUGGCACUAUCUGUACAUGGGUUUCUAAAGUACUACAGAGAAAUAGUAUCACUGAGUGAGUGGGCUCUACUUAGGUUGGUUGUUUCUCCCCAGCCAGCCGAACUUCUACAGAACAGGGUUUAGGAAGCUCAGGAAAUUCACACCUGCUACAUGUCACACCAAACAUAAUACAGGAACAGCCAUACCGAGUCAGGGCCUCAAAUCAUCCUUUUAAGUCUCUGUUUGUGACUGUCCCCAGAGCUGAAGGCCUCAAUAAAGCACAACCAGCAAUUUUAGCAGAAGCCUUUCCCUGGGCUGCCCUCCCAUCUAUUGGCACUCCACAGCUCACCAGUCUCCUGACCUAAAAGUUGCAAACAAGCUGCUUGCUGUUUCCCACCCAGAAAGCUUCACACUGUUUUGGAACAGCACAUGUCUUCCAUGUUUGCAGUAAGUCCCCAUGCCAGGUCCAAAGCAGGACUCACUGUGGACUCGCUCUGCAUUUGGUGUCAGUGGGUUUAGAAACACAUUCCUCAAGUGCAGCACACUACUAGGGUUCUUGCAGUUCAGGGAUUAAAACAGCUGCAAAGGCUCACUCUGAUCAGAGUGAAUCUAUUUUAUGUAUUCUCCAAGAAGUUUAAUCUUCUAUUUUUUUAAAGAACAGAUUGCUCUCAUUUUGGCAGAAAAACUUGUGUAAGGAGCUCUGGGACAAACAAUAGCAAACUUGGAAUGCUUAAUUUUGAAGCAGGAUUUACUAUUCUUUUUACCCUACAAACUCAGUCUAUGAAGGGGUAAAACAUGGUUGCUUAAAAUAAUUGUAAUUACUCCUCCAGUUGAAUCCAAUCAGGUGGAAUGGAUACUUAAGCAGAGUGUUAAUUAUGAUACCACCGAUGCUAGAGAAAGAAACCUAACUAAAAUCUAAGGCUACGUUCAGUUUACUGCAUGGAUUACACACAGGAUUACACUUUAAAACCACUGCAAGGUUGAAUGAUUUGUUUCAAUCCAAAUACCAUUUUUUUGCACAGUAUUAAGGGAAAUUUUGGAACUGGUAAGCAAGGUAGUCCACAGGAUUGUCCGCAGAGUACUUUGAAUUUGCAAGUAACCAUUUGUAAAUACCAUUUUGUAGACACCAAAACAGAAGCAGCAGCUGGACAUUGAACCUAAAUUAUUUUCAGUUAGGCUGAUGCAAGCAUGCAUACUGCUUUCGUUAGCUGAGACUACUCCAGCAUGUAAGACAACUUGAAGAGAGUUCAUGGCAGAUUACCACCCUUGAAGUUUAGAUUAAUGCUCCAUAUUUAGAACAAAGAUGCACUGGAGGAAUAAUUUUUAAAAAAUUAUUCCAACUCCAGCUUUCUAUGAUUCUAACUACUAGCAACCAUUAGCAACUUGCAAGGCUUGCAGGAAUUCUCAGUCUGAAUGCAACACAACUCCAAAGCUUUUCCUUCUGCAUGGCAGUAGUACUCACUGACCUCAGCCAGAAUUUCUGAGGUUCUCUACUGUUGUUGAGAUCUCUCUUUGUUGCAUUAACUGAUUCUGCCUCAAAAGGGAAAGUGCCCUUUAUAGGCAGAUUAAAACUUUCAAUUCUCUGUGGUAAUUAUUAAAUGAAUCAUGAAACUAAGGCUGCCAGCUGUGCCACGUUAAAUUGCACUCUCCCACGUUCAACAUUCUCUUGCUGAGCUUAGCUCAGAAAGUUUGUCAUUGGAUUUCCAUGAAUUUUCCAAGUAUUGAAGUUUGCUUUUAAAUUCUCUUGCAAUCAUGCAAUCCACACAAUAAGACUAAGCACUGUAAUUUGAUUAACAGAAAAUGAAAAUGAGCUAUCUAGAAAACAGUUUUAGUGGUGAUAUAUUGGCUAACUUCUGUGUGGCUCAUUUUGCAUCACUGUGCUCAGAAAUAAAAUGAAGUCUUUGAAAAUUAAAGCCAGAAAAAUCUCGCCCCAAACCAAGACUCUGAAAUGUAAAAUUAUUAGUUCAAGCUGAGUGAUAAAUGGCAGAAGUUUUCUGUUUUCCACAAUGGUGUAAACAGCUAGUUCAGCAGUGUUGUUGCUAUUGUUACGUAUUUAAAGUUGAAACCUGCUAUUAUAUAUCACAUUACAAAAAAGAGCUCUAGGUUAGACAACAUUUCAGCUUUUCUGUUCCUUAGACUUGGAUCUCAGGCCUAAAGGGAAUAUAUGUAAGACUGUAGGUUAUCACAUUUUACAUAAUAAUUUUGUCCCGUAUAUCUUGAUGGGUGGGGUGUAAAGCUAUUUUUCCCUACUCUCCUGAACAUGCUAGAAUAGUGGAUUUACAUCUUGAUUUUCCGUGCAUCUGUAGAAACAUUCAUUGUACCACACAUCACGUUUCGAGAUCUGGAUAUGCUACAUCGUAUUCUGUCUGAACUCAGGUUGUCCAUUAUCAUAGAAUCACAGCAUCACCAAGGUUGGAAAAGACCUCUAAGAUCAUCCAGUCCAACCAUCCACGUAUCACCAGUAUUUUCCACUAAACCAUGUACCCUGAUACAGCACCUAAACAUUUCUUGAACACAACUGUUCUCUUAUUAUUCUCUUGAAGCCAAAACUACCUGAAAAAUGCUGUGGCUUGGAAAAUGCACAUUUUAUCAUUGAGAUGUCACAUGAGACUUCGUCGGAAUUACUGUGAACUGCACAACCCUACUAAUUGCUUUUAAAAUAGUACCACUGAAAGUCAUCUGCUGAGCCAGCCUUGCAAGGCACAUUGAGCUCUGAGUGCUGAAGUGUGUGGCACAGGCAAGUCCCACCAUGGAAACAUGAUUCGAGACCUUCAACAGGAGGAAAUAUCUUCCAGCAGGGAGAGAUAAAGAGGAGCACUGCAUCACUCACAGUUUCUCUGCCAAGGGAAGCCUUCAGGAAGCAGUCUUCCUUUUGCUCAGAAAAUACGAAACAACGCUAUGAAAGCAAUUUAAGGAACUAUCUGGGAAGCAGCUUAAGGAAAAACACCACCUCUCCCAUGUAGACAGUUAAGGCACUGUGUUUACAAGAUGCGUGCUGAGCUCCCCUCUGGCUUAGCUGAGUGGAAGAAGAUGACCAGUCUAAAUAUAGUAAAAGGAGAUGCAGUGUGUUACAUACAGCCCAUGUAGCUUGUUCAGUCGAGAUUAAUUCAAUGAGGCAGACAGGAAGGUGACAUGCAUGGCUGGAGUGUCUUGGUCAUUUUAAAAUCAGUGUUUUACAUCUAGAUUUCCACUGCCCUAGAAUUCUUUGAACUGUUUCUACGCUUGAUAUGAUUUUCCCAUAUGAAGUGUUCAAGACCUAAGAAAAUGUAACAGAAAGGGCCUCUUAAAUCUACAUAACUCACUCUGCAAAUACAGGACUGGUCUAUAAACCUGCCCACUUCAAGGCUAUUGCACACAUUCCCUGUUUUAGAACCUGCAGAGCCAGUAUCCUCACUCUCUAUUCUUAGCUCAACGUUUCAUACAUCUUAUAAAAGCUGCCUAGAUGUGCACUCAAAAAUCACUCCAUUUUAAUUUGAACCCAGUUUAAGUUAUUGAGUAGCCAGAUGCAAUUAAUCAAACAAUACCUCUCUCCCUGAUGAGAUGACAUUCUCCACGCAUCACUCACAUCUUCCUAACGAGAGGGGCCUAGUUCAAGAUAGGUAUUUAUACAGUAACUGACAUCUCUGUUGAUAAUAAACUUACACUAAACGAGCUUUUCGAAAUCAUAAAUCUCUAUCUUAAAGUGUUCAUCCCCUUUUCAUUCCUACUGAACUGAGAGGCCAGCAAGCUUGCAGUGUGUUUCAUAACUUUGAUUGCUCGUGCUGUUCACUUUCUGAUAAACUAGAGAAUCACCAUUUCUCUUUUGUCUGAGGCAUAUUUUAAGUAGAGCUUGUUAGGAUGAGGAGAUGAUAACCCAGCUGCCUGCUCACAUUUUCUCACAACACAAAACAACACAGUAGUAACCUAUUUGUUGCAUUUCCUGCUUAAACACAUGGAUCCAUUUUGGAAAGAGUUAAAGGAAAUUUUAAAGUUGCUGAUACUCUUGGAAGCUGCUGAUUCUGCUCUGGGCUACAACAGCUUAUGAAAGGAGGACAACAGAGAUCAGACCAGAAAAGAAAGGAAAAGGACAGGGAGGUGAUGGAGAGAUGGCAGAGCUGUGAGGCAACGCAUUCUGUAAACUGUUUCCUCCUGUGACUUGCUGGAAGGUAUAAUCAGUCAUCCGCUGCUCGUUUUUGUGUGUAUGGUGUGUGUGUGUGUGUGCAUGUUUUUUUUAAACACCCAUUGCAAUCCCUCAAGACUACACUCCUAGUUUUACUUUUUUUGGUGGUGAUAGUGUAUGUUUGUGUAAGGGGUGUCAGGGGACUGAAAUUGUGAUACCAACUAGCAAUUUGGGUGUGUGGGUGAAAAUUAACUGUUGUAGUUGGUUAUUUUAUGGGCCCAAAAUAUGGCUGUUAAAAACCCCAACAUUCACCAUAUGAGCUUUCUGUAUCCAGACCAUAAAAUGUCUGGGAUACAUAGACGGGAUCCAAGCCGACUUCCUGCCAUGAAAUUGUGCUUCACUAAUGAUCACUCCAGCCUGUUUUCUAAACUUGGAGACCUCUUGUUUUCCCUAGAGGAUACUACAUUGUUUGUCUUUGGGAAAAAGUGUUUGUGUGCUACAAUUACGAAGUUUAUAGAACUUAAAAAUUCACCCGAAAUGGGACUACUACUUUACACAUAGUUCAACUUGGGUACGAAAAGGAAAAAUAAAGCUACAUUCAAAAGCUGCAGGAAAGCACAAAGGUAAGGGGUGAAGUUGUUGUCUAUCAAAAAUAUAUUUUAACUAAGUGCUGUCAGUUCUCUGAUGGACAGGAGUCUUUCUCCUUCCCCGCACCCUCGUUAUUCCUCUCUCAAAUGCACCAUUUCCCCAACGUACCCAGACACUGCUUUCCUAAUCAAAUAUUUGAAAAGAUGUCACUUUUAUACUAGGAUAUUCUAUGUAUUAUUAUAUAGAAUAUAUACAAUAACUUACAUAUCCUUUAGUUACAUUAUAUAUACUUAUAUAUGCUAGAUACUGCACCUUCUGAACUGCUGUUCAGUGAGCCUCUAUGGAGAGGCUUCUGAAACUGCAUCUCCGCUAUCUGAUGGAUUGCAACCCAAAGAUCUCAGUUGAAAGUACUCAUGCAAUAUGCAAAGAGACUUCGUACAAAGCAAAACAGAAUAAAAUUUUAAAUGCAAAAAUA